rnacentral:rRNA from 1 species
UACGUAGGGGGCUAGCGUUGUCCGGAAUCAUUGGGCGUAAAGAGCGUGUAGGCGGCUUGGUAAGUCCGCUGUGAAAGUCCAGGGCUUAACCCUGGAAAGCCAGUGGAAACUGUCAAGCUAGAGUCCGGAAGAGGUGAGUGGAACUCCUGGUGUAGCGGUGAAAUGCGCAGAUAUCGAUCGGAACACCCAUGGCGAAGGCAGCUCGCUGGCCUAAAACUGACGCUGAGGCGCGAAAGCGUGGGGAGCAAACAGG